CGGGGUGUGGCUCAGCUUGGUAGAGCACUUGACUGGGGGUCAAGGGGCCGCUGGUUCAAAUCCAGUCACUCCGACCA
rnacentral:tRNA from 1 species